GUAGGUGAACCUGCGGAAGGAUCAUUCAUAAUAAGUGUUUUAUGGCACUUUUUAAAUCCAUAUCCACCUUGUGUGCAAUGUCAGUCGAUCUUCUUCAUGGAGAUCGACCAAACAUCAACCUUUAUUUUUUAACUCUUUGUCUGAAAAAUAUUAUGAAUAAACAAUUCAAAAUACAACUUUCAACAACGGAUCUCUUGGCUCUCGCAUCGAUGAAGAACGCAGCAUACUGACUAAGCACCUACACAUCUCG
rnacentral:misc_RNA from 1 species